rnacentral:rRNA from 1 species
GACGAACGCUGGCGGCGUGCUUAACACAUGCAAGUCGAACGGAAAGGCCCUGCUUUUGUGGGGUGCUCGAGUGGCGAACGGGUGAGUAACACGUGAGUAACCUGCCCUUGACUUUGGGAUAACUUCAGGAAACUGGGGCUAAUACCGGAUAGGAGCUCCUGCUGCAUGGUGGGGGUUGGAAAGCUUCGGCGGUUGGGGAUGGACUCGCGGCUUAUCAGCUUGUUGGUGGGGUAGUGGCUUACCAAGGCAUUGACGGGUAGCCGGCCUGAGAGGGUGACCGGCCACAUUGGGACUGAGAUACGCCCCAGACUCCAACGGGGGGCAGCAGUCGAGAGUAUUACACAAUGGGCGGACGCCUGAUGCAGAGACGCCGCGUGCGGGAUGACGGCCUUCGGGUUGUAAACCGCUUUCGCCUGUGACGAAGCGUGAGUGACGGUAAUGGGUAAAGAAGCACCGGCUAACUACGUG